UACAGAGGUCUCGAGCGUUGUUCGGAUUCAUUGGGCGUAAAGGGCGCGUAGGCGGCGCGGUAAGUCGGGUGUGAAAUCUCGGAGCUUAACUCCGAAACUGCAUUCGAUACUGCCGUGCUUGAGGACUGGAGAGGAGACUGGAAUUUACGGUGUAGCGGUGAAAUGCGUAGAUAUCGUAAGGAAGACCAGUGGCGAAGGCGGGUCUCUGGGCAGUUCCUGACGCUGAGGCACGAAGGUCAGGGGAGCAAACGGG
rnacentral:rRNA from 1 species